CUCUUAUCCAGAGAGGUGGAGGGGCUGGCCCUAUGAUACCUCAGCAACGGGUUUUAAAAUACCGUGCUAAUUCCAGCAAGCUCUUUAGAGGCUUGGAAGAUGAGAA
rnacentral:ncRNA from 2 species